rnacentral:rRNA from 1 species
AAGCCGAAUUAAGUAGAAACCGCGAAUGGCUCAAUAUAUCAGUUUUGGUUCCUUAGAUCGUACACAGUUACUUGGAUAACUGUGGCAAUUCUAGAGCUAAUACAUGCAAACGGGGUUCUGACCGGUAACGGGAGGAAUGCUUUUAUUAGAUCAAAAACCAAUCGGCGGACGGAGCGAUCCGCCCGCCGCCAUUCGAGAUGACUCUAGAUAACUUUGAGCUGAUCGCACGGUCCAGCACCGGCGACGCAUCUUUCAAAUGUCUGCCUUAUCAACUGUCGAUGGUAGUUUAUGCGACUACCAUGGUUGUCACGGGUAACGGGGAAUCAGGGUUCGAUUCCGGAGAGGGAGCCUGAGAAACGGCUACCACAUCCACGGAAGGCAGCAGGCGCGCAAAUUACCCACUCCCGGCACGGGGAGGUAGUGACGAAAAAUAACGAUACGGGACUCGUCCGAGGCCUCGUGAUCGGAAUGAUUACACUUUAAAUCCUUUAACGAGGAUCCAUUGGAGGGCAAGUCUGGUGCCAGCAGCCGCGGUAAUUCCAGCUCCAAUAGCAUAUACUAAAGUUGUUGCGGUUAAAAAGCUCGUAGUUGAAAUUGUGUCCUGCGGUGUCGGUCUACCGAUUGCGGUACGACGGGCACGUCUGCGGGGCUUCUCGCCGGUGCGUCCACCGCCGGCGUGCGUCGGUCGGCCUCGCGGUCGGCCGCGCACCGAGGCGGACCGUCGCGGCUGUUUACUUUGAACAAAUUAGAGUGCUCAAAGCGGGCUAACACUCGCCUGAAUAUUGUACGCAUGGAAUAAUAGAAUAGGACCUCGGUUCUGUUUUGUUGGCUUUCUGAUACCAGAGGUAAUGAUUAAUAGGGACAACUGGGGGCAUUCGUAUUGCGACGUUAGAGGUGAAAUUCUUGGAUCGUCGCAASACGGACUAAAGCGAAAGCAUUUGCCAAAGGUGUUUUCAUUAAUCAAGAACGAAAGUUAGAGGUUCGAAGGCGAUUAGAUACCGCUGUAGUUCUAACCAUAAAUGAUGCCAGCCAGCGAUCCGCCGAAGUUUCAUAAUUUUAACCCGGUGGGCAGCUCCCGGGAAACCAAAGCUUUC